rnacentral:rRNA from 1 species
GCGGUGUUUUASUNUUNUKAGAGGAACSUGUUCUUUAAUCGAUAAUCCUCGUUCUAUCUGACUUAAUAUUGUUUAUCAGUAUGUAUACCUCCGUUAUAGGUUUAUUUUUAUAGGAUUAAUUUACUUAAUAAUUUAUUUAUUAUUAUUUCAGGUCAAGGUGCAGCUUAUGGUUGAGUGGAAAUGGGUUACAUUAUUUGUAUAAACGGAUUUUUUGUUGAAAUAUUUUAUUGAAGGUGGAUUUAAUAGUAAUUUGAUUUAUAGUGUUUUAUUGAACUUAGCUCUAUAAUGAGUACACAUCG